rnacentral:rRNA from 2 species
AGAGUUUGAUCAUGGCUCAGAUUGAACGCUGGCGGCAGGCCUAACACAUGCAAGUCGAGCGGUAGCACAGAGAGCUUGCUCUCGGGUGACGAGCGGCGGACGGGUGAGUAAUGUCUGGGAAACUGCCUGAUGGAGGGGGAUAACUACUGGAAACGGUAGCUAAUACCGCAUAACGUCGCAAGACCAAAGUGGGGGACCUUCGGGCCUCAUGCCAUCAGAUGUGCCCAGAUGGGAUUAGCUAGUAGGUGGGGUAACGGCUCACCUAGGCGACGAUCCCUAGCUGGUCUGAGAGGAUGACCAGCCACACUGGAACUGAGACACGGUCCAGACUCCUACGGGAGGCAGCAGUGGGGAAUAUUGCACAAUGGGCGCAAGCCUGAUGCAGCCAUGCCGCGUGUGUGAAGAAGGCCUUCGGGUUGUAAAGCACUUUCAGCGGGGAGGAAGGCGAUAAGGUUAAUAACCUUGUCGAUUGACGUUACCCGCAGAAGAAGCACCGGCUAACUCCGUGCCAGCAGCCGCGGUAAUACGGAGGGUGCAAGCGUUAAUCGGAAUUACUGGGCGUAAAGCGCACGCAGGCGGUCUGUCAAGUCGGAUGUGAAAUCCCCGGGCUCAACCUGGGAACUGCAUUCGAAACUGGCAGGCUAGAGUCUUGUAGAGGGGGGUAGAAUUCCAGGUGUAGCGGUGAAAUGCGUAGAGAUCUGGAGGAAUACCGGUGGCGAAGGCGGCCCCCUGGACAAAGACUGACGCUCAGGUGCGAAAGCGUGGGGAGCAAACAGGAUUAGAUACCCUGGUAGUCCACGCCGUAAACGAUGUCGAUUUGGAGGUUGUGCCCUUGAGGCGUGGCUUCCGGAGCUAACGCGUUAAAUCGACCGCCUGGGGAGUACGGCCGCAAGGUUAAAACUCAAAUGAAUUGACGGGGGCCCGCACAAGCGGUGGAGCAUGUGGUUUAAUUCGAUGCAACGCGAAGAACCUUACCUGGUCUUGACAUCCACAGAACUUACCAGAGAUGCAUUGGUGCCUUCGGGAACUGUGAGACAGGUGCUGCAUGGCUGUCGUCAGCUCGUGUUGUGAAAUGUUGGGUUAAGUCCCGCAACGAGCGCAACCCUUAUCCUUUGUUGCCAGCGGUCCGGCCGGGAACUCAAAGGAGACUGCCAGUGAUAAACUGGAGGAAGGUGGGGAUGACGUCAAGUCAUCAUGGCCCUUACGACCAGGGCUACACACGUGCUACAAUGGCAUAUACAAAGAGAAGCGACCUCGCGAGAGCAAGCGGACCUCAUAAAGUAUGUCGUAGUCCGGAUUGGAGUCUGCAACUCGACUCCAUGAAGUCGGAAUCGCUAGUAAUCGUAGAUCAGAAUGCUACGGUGAAUACGUUCCCGGGCCUUGUACACACCGCCCGUCACACCAUGGGAGUGGGUUGCAAAAGAAGUAGGUAGCUUAACCUUCGGGAGGGCGCUUACCACUUUGUGAUUCAUGACUGGGGUGAAGUCGUAACAAGGUAACCGUAGGGGAACCUGCGGUUGGAUCACCU